CUUUAUGCUAUCUAACUAGAUCCAAUAAUGGACUACGAGGCAUUCAAAUGCUGAUGUUCAUGGCUUCAGGUAUUACUUAAGUAGAAUUUGGGAUUUUUGUGCCAUUGAGUGUCUACUGUGUCGUGUGUCGAGUCGACACAGGCUAUCACAAGUACAGUCUCCGAGGAUGUCAUUUGUUGUUUUUGGGUAGUAUACAAUGGUGAUGUUACCUGCUCAUUUCUUGUUAAGCUGACAUUAAGCUUGCAUUACUCGUGUAUCUUUACGAUAGCUAGAUUCACAAUGAACUGCGAGGCAUUGAAAUGGUGAUGUUCAUGUUGUCAUUUUUCUGUUCGGAUCUAGGUUCUAGCUAUUUUAAAGCAGAUUGUUGGUGGAGACCGCUACAGCAGGCUGGUGCAGACUGGUGGUGUUGGUGGGGACCGCUACAGCCAUCGGAAGGGAUUUGGCAGGAGGUGGAGCCUUCUUUGCUUGACUUUUACUGCCAAGGUAGCUUUUUCCCUUCCCAUGGUUCUUCCCUUUCAUUAUUGAUGCAUUUACCUGCAAUCCUGAGCCUCAACCUGGUGUAUUUGGUGAUCACUCUCCUCUUGACAUCAUGGCAGGAUGGAAGGUUUGAUUUCACAGUCAUGGCCUCUUCCACUAGUUCACUGACUGAGCACUCCAUUAGGGCUUCUGAUGUCCUGGCCCGGAACAGCUGCUCAACGUGCUGCAGUAAAGAGAAUACAUCCGCAGAUGGCUGGUGAAGUGCGCCCUCUCUGUACUCCUUCAUCUGCAGCAGUGUGGCGUUGUCCGGUAUAGCGUCGUCACUGUUCCUUAAGGCAGGCUUACAGGCCGAACACAAAGAGCCGCCUAGUACACCCUUGAUGACGUAUCCGGCCAGAUGGUAUAGCACACAGGACUCCGCUUUUGUGGAAAUGAUUCUGCUCCUACUGCAUGAGACUGCUGCUGUUGAUGGGAAGUGCUUUUGCCAGAAAUGGCUUAGUUGCAGGUGGUGGCUUUCUUGAGUUGCACUGAUAAGGUUGAUGCUUUCAAUGCAUUGGAAGUUCCAGCAUGUUCCAGUGAAUUCCAAUUCUUCAUGCAUUAUUGAUUUCACACACACACACACACACACACACACACACACGUCUUGUCAUGUACACAGACAUGCCGUUUUAUUCAUAGUUAUUUUGUUUGGGCUGUUUAUGUUUCUA